UUAUUAAUAGUUAAAUAAUAACGCUAAAAUGCAAUUUUAGAAUUGAUUAACUAGAAAUCUUAAUAAAU
rnacentral:tRNA from 1 species